UGCUAACCAGCUAGCCCACCAUAAACAAAAACAACACCUAGAUAUUUAUAACCCCAAACACACCUCCCCUAUAAAACAAAACAUUUUACCCCCUUAGUAUGGGCGACAGAAAAGGGACUAUCGGAGCAAUAGAGAAAGUACCGCAAGGGAACGCUGAAAGAGAAAUGAAAUAACCCAGUAAAGCCCCAAGAAGCAGAGAUUACCCCUCGUACCUUUUGCAUCAUGAUUUAGCUAGCAACACCCAAGCGAAGAGCACUUCAGUUUGAAACCCCGAAACUACGUGAGCUACUCCAAGACAGCCUAUCAAUAGGGCAAACCCGUCUCUGUGGCAAAAGAGUGGGAAGAUCUUUGAGUAGAGAUGACAGAUCUACCGAACCUAGUAAUAGCUGGUUGCCUGAGAAUUGGAUAGGAGUUCAGCCUCCAGUAUUUCUCCACUCAAUUCCGGCCUGACCAUGCCCGACACCUAAAGAAAUCUAGAGAGUUACUCAAAGGAGGUACAGCCCCUUUGAGACAAGAUACAACUUUCCCAGGAGGGUAAAGAUCACAAUAUUUAAGGCAAUAAUGCCCAGGUGGGCCUGAAAGCAGCCACCCCUACAGAAAGCGUUAAAGCUCGAGCAUUAAAUCUUCCGCCAUAUAUCCAGAUAACCCAAUCCUAACCCCCAAGCAUUAUCAGGCCUUCUCAUGCAGACAUGAGAGCGUACAUGCUAAUAUGAGUAAUAAGAGAAUAUUUAUCCUCUCUCCUUGCACACAUGUAAAUCGGAACGAAACCUCACCGAAACUUAACGGCCCCCAAACAAAGAGGGUAAUGAAUAAUAAGUAAAUAACUAGAAAACCAUACAACAUAAUAACCGUUAACCCCACACUGGUGUGCCAUUAAGGAAAGACUAAAAGAGAAAGAAGGAACUCGGCAAACAAAUGGAGCCUCGCCUGUUUACCAAAAACAUCGCCUCUUGCUAAUCAAGAAUAAGAGGUACCGCCUGCCCAGUGACAAUAUGUUCAACGGCCGCGGUAUUUUAACCGCGCCAAGGUAGCGCAAUCACUUGUCUCUUAAAUAGAGACCUGUAUGAAUGGCAUCACGAGGGCUCAACUGUCUCCUUUCUCAAGUCCAUGAAAUUGAUCUCCCCGUGCAGAAGCGGGGAUACAAACAUAAGACGAGAAGACCCUAUGGAGCUUUAGACACUAAGGCAUAUUGUGUCAAAUAACCCUAAAACAAAGGACUGAACUGAACGAACCAUGCCCCUCUGUCUUAGGUUGGGGCGACCCCGAGGAAACAAAAAACCCACGAGUGGAAUGGGAGCACUGACCUCCUACAACCAAGAGCUGCAGCUCUAACUAAUAGAAUUUCUAACCAAUAAUGAUCCGGCAAAGCCGAUUAACGAACCAAGUUACCCUAGGGAUAACAGCGCAAUCCCCUUCUAGAGUCCCUAUCGACAAGGGGGUUUACGACCUCGAUGUUGGAUCAGGACAUCCUAAUGGCGCAGCCGCUAUUAAGGGUUCGUUUGUUCAACGAUUAAAGUCCUACGUGAUCUGAGUUCAGACCGGAGUAAUCCAGGUCAGUUUCUAUCUAUGACAUGCUCUUUUCUAGUACGAAAGGACCGAAAAGAAGGGGCCAAUACUUAAGGCACGCCCCGUCCCUCCUAAUGAAAGCAACUAAAUUAGGGAAGAGGACAUAACCCCACCAAGCCAAAGAAAUAUGGCAUU
rnacentral:rRNA from 1 species